rnacentral:lncRNA from 10 species
UGCCUAUGCUUUGCCCUCAGGAAAGAUUGUGGCAUAUUACUGAACUAAGCAACCUAGUGACGUGUCUCUUCUGACUGGGGCUUGCCCACAGAGACAACUGUGACAUAGCACUGAGCCCAGGACCCAGGUGAUGUGACUCUGCUGCCUGUUUCCAACAUUCAUGAGAGGAUGGUAACUAUCCCUUGCCAAGAACUCAGGUGAUUUGACUGUCCUGCCUUGUUGCUGCCCUCAGAGAAGAUUGUGAUAUAUCUUCAGCCCCAAACCCAGUUUUUGCCCACAGGGGAGAUUGUGACAUAUCACUGGGCCUCAAACUAAGGUGAAGUUACACUUUCAUUUUCGAACUGUACUCAGAAGGCAUCGUGACAUAUUCCUGGGCCCAGCACCAAGGUGAUGUGAGUCUCCUGCCUGCACUUUGCCCACAAAUGGCAUUGUAACAUAUCUUUAGACCUAUCAACUACUUGAUAUGACUUAUUUUUUUAAAGUGAAAGCAAGUUUAUUAGAGAAGUAAAUAAACAAAAGAAUGGCUACUCCAUAGACAGAGAAGACCUCAGGGCUGCUCAUUGGCUCUUUUCAUGGUUAUUUCUUGAGUACAUACUAAACAAGGGAUGGAUUAUUUGUGAGUUUUCCAGGGAAAGGAUGGGCAAUUUCCAGAACUCAGGGUGCCUUCCCUUUUUAGACCAUAUAGGAUACCUUCCUAACAUUGCCAUGACAUUUGUAAAGUGUCAUGGUGCUGUUGGGAGUGUCUUUUAGCAUACUGAUGCAUUACAUUUAGUGUAUAAUGAGCAGUGAGGACUAACAGAGGUCACUUUCAUUGCAGUUUUUCUUUCGGUGGGUUUUUGCUGUCUUUUGUCCUGUAUCCUCUUUUAUCAGCAAGGUGUUUGUGAAUGGUACCUUGUGGUGACCUCUUGUCUUAUCCUGUGACAUAGAAUGCCUGAUCUUCUGAGAGCACAGGAAUUGGGUUAAUUCCUUUCUUUUUGAGGUCUCCAGAUAACUCGGGGCUCUUGGGCCUGGCAGAA